CAUAUUUUGCCAUUGGUGUAUCCGGUGUCGUGCUAUAACGACUACACACUUGCGGACUGUGCGCAGCUUCUCUAUUUUACAAUUUCGCGAUUUUCCGUGGCAGUAAGUUUUAAUUUUUAAUAAACUUUCCACGGAGCUUCAAGCCCGGAGGUUGCCUGUUUCCUUAGUGCGUCUUUGCGUUAGUUUUGUUUUUGCCACAAAGCCGAAAGCCAUCCGUCCUUGAUGUCCUCGGGGAUGUCGUCUCAAUAGACUUGCGUUAUUAUCAUCUCGCCUUUUUGCCAGCGCGCAACUUCAAGAAAUCAACUGUUUUUCACCGGAC